rnacentral:rRNA from 1 species
GACGAACGCUGGCGGCGUGCUUAACACAUGCAAGUCGAACGGACAGGCCCUGCUUUUGCGGGGUUCUCGAGUGGCGAACGGGUGAGUAACACGUGUGUAACCUGCCCUUGACUUUGGGAUAACUUCUGGAAACUGGGGCUAAUACCGGAUAUGAUCUCCUGCAGCACAGUGGGGGUUGGAAAGUUUCGGCGGUUGUGGCUGGACUCGCGGCUUAUCAGCUUGUUUGUGGGGUAGUGGCUUACGAAGGCUUCGACGGGUAGCCUGCCUGAGAGGGUGAACGGCCACCUUGGGCCUGAGAUACGGCCCAGAAUCCUACGGUAGGCAGCAGUGGGGAGUAUUGCACAAUGGGCGGAAGCCAGAUGCAGCAACGCCGCGUGCGGGAUGACGGCCUUCGGGUUGUAAACCGCUUUGGCCUGUGCCGAAGCGUGAGUGACGGUAAUGGGUAAAGAAGCACCGGCUAACUACGUG